UACGUAGGGUCCGAGCGUUGUCCGGAAUUAUUGGGCGUAAAGAGCUCGUAGGCGGUUUGUCGCGUCUGCUGUGAAAUCCCGAGGCUCAACCUCGGGCCUGCAGUGGGUACGGGCAGACUGGAGUGCGGUAGGGGAGAAUGGAAUUCCUGGUGUAGCGGUGAAAUGCGUUGAUAUCCGUAGGAACUCCGGUGGCGAAGGCGGCGUGCUGGAUCCCUUCUGACGCUGAGGCGCGAAAGCCAGGGGAGCAAACGGG
rnacentral:rRNA from 1 species